UACAGAGGUCUCAAGCGUUGUUCGGAUUCAUUGGGCGUAAAGGGUGCGCAGGCGGCGUGGUAAGUCGGGUGUGAAAUCUCGGAGCUUAACUCCGAAACUGCAUUCGAUACUGCCGUGCUUGAGGACUGGAGAGGAGACUGGAAUUUACGGUGUAGCGGUGAAAUGCGUAGAUAUCGUAAGGAAGACCAGUGGCGAAGGCGGGUCUCUGGACAGUUCCUGACGCUGAGGCACGAAGGCCAGGGGAGCAAACGGG
rnacentral:rRNA from 1 species